AUGAAGUUACUCUCAAACUACAAUUCUAUGCAAGCACUGAUCUUUAAAUUGAAGGUGAUUAUUCUUUUUAAGAAGGGAGAACGAUUCACUUUGGUGUACAUGAUCCUAUGGUCUUUUUUAUUGAUUGCUAUGGCUGUUCCUAUUUCUCUACUAUUAAUUAAAGAAGAAUCGAAUGUCGUGAUGGUUCAACUGGUUGGACCCUCCCCUCCUCUGGCCAUCGAUACAUCUUCCCACGCACUUCCCUCAUCGAUUUUUUUAUCCCUCCGAAAACCAGGGGCAAGUAACCCGGUUCAAUCAACCCCUCCCCACCUCGUACGGUUCCGCACGACUGAAAAAUUCCACGCACGAACAAAAUCGCCUGAAAAAGCCCACGUUCAUAACCAUCGCCUGAAAACGAUCCCACAUCCUCCACCCCUCUCCCAAACCCAAACUACCCCGGCGUCCUCCUCCCCCACCGCAGUGAAGGGUUCGUCGCCCCGUCCGCCCCUCCUCCAGAUGCAGUAG
rnacentral:rRNA from 1 species